rnacentral:rRNA from 1 species
CCUACGGGAGGCAGCAGUAGGGAAUUUUCCGCAAUGGGCGAAAGCCUGACGGAGCAAUACCGCGUGAGGGAAGACGGCCUAUGGGUUGUAAACCUCUUUUUUCGGGGAGGAAUAAAUGACGUGUACCUGAAGAAUAAGCAUCGGCUAACUCCGUGCCAGCAGCCGCGGUAAGACGGAGGAUGCAAGUGUUAUCCGGAAUCACUGGGCGUAAAGCGUCUGUAGGUUGUUAGACAAGUCAACUGUUAAAUCUUGGGGCUUAACUUCAAAAUUGCAGUCGAAACUGUUUGACUAGAGUAUAGUAGGGGUAAAGGGAAUUUCCAGUGGAGCGGUGGAAUGCGUAGAUAUUGGAAAGAACACCAAUGGCGAAGGCACUUUACUGGGCUAUUACUGACACUCAGAGACGAAAGCUAGGGUAGCAAAUGGGAUUAGAUACCCCAGUAGUCCUAGCUGUAAACGAUGGAUACUAAAUGUUGGACAGAUCGACCUGUGCAGUAUUAAAGCUAACGCGUUAAGUAUCCCGCCUGGGAAGUAUGCUCGCAAGAGUGAAACUCAAAGGAAUUGACGG